AUGGGCAGCAGCAACACCCUGUCGUCGGUGCGCGAGAUACGGCGCUCACAGCGUGCGGAUGGGCCUGCAGCCGUUCUCGCCAUCGGCACGGCGAACCCGGCCAACUGCGUGUCCCAGGAGGAGUACCCGGACUACUACUUCCGAGUCACCAAGAGCCAACACCUCACUGACCUCAAAAAACAACUCAAGACCUUCUGCGAGAUGACAUCAACGGAGAAGCGCUACUUCCACCACACGGAGGAGCUGCUGGACGCCCACCCUGAAUUCCUCUGCCACGACAAGCCGUCCCUGGACACGCGGCUAUCCAUCGCCGCUGCUGCCGCACCGGAGCUGGCGGCGUCAGCUGCAGCCAAGGCCAUAGCCGAGUGGGGCCGUCCAGCCACCGACAUCACCCACCUCAUCGUCAGCACCAACUCCGGCGCGCACGCCCCGGGCGUCGACCUCCGGCUGGCCUCUCUCCUCGGCCUCCGCGCGUCCGUAUGCCGGACGAUGCUCAACCUCAACGGUUGUUCCACCGGUGCCGCCUCCCUGCGCCUCGCCAAGGACCUGGCCGAGAAUAACCGCGGGGCGCGCGUGCUUGUGGCCUGCGUCGAGCUCACGGUCAUCAACUUCCGCGGCCCCGAGGAGGCGUACCCACACAAGCUCAUCAGCCAGGCAGCCUUCGGCGAUGGCGCCGGCGCGGUCAUCGUCGGCGCUGACGCCGUGCACCCCGUGGAGCACACGCUCUUCGAGAUGGUAUCGGCCUCGCAGACCACGAUACCAGCAACCGACGGCGUGCUCAACAUGCAGCUCACCGAAGCCGGCCUCGACGGCCACAUCUUCACCAGGGAGCUCAUUCCUCUAGCGGCACAGCACAUCGAGCAGUGUCUCAUGGAUGCUUUCCAGCCGUUUGGAAUCAUGAGCGAUGGCACCAAAUGGAACGAUAUGUUCUUUGUGGUGCACCCUGGCAUCCGUGGAAUAAUAGAUCACAUCGACGGGGCUCUCCGGCUGGAUCCCGGGAAGCUGGCCGCGAGCCGGACUGUGCUGAGAGACUACGGGAACAUGCUUGGUGCCACGUUGAUCUUCGUGCUCGACGAGCAACGGAUGCGGAUGGAGGAGGACGGAGAGCGGGGUGAGUGGGGUGUGAUGAUGGGAUUUGGACCGGGGUUUACAGUUGAGACCAUGGUGCUGCAUGCAGUGGCCAGCAACCUGCACAGCAAAAAUUGA
rnacentral:rRNA from 1 species